GCGUCAUUAAAGCACAGGAGUAACCGGUCAUAACCGGUUGCAGGUUCGAUUCCUGCAUGACGCACCA
rnacentral:tRNA from 1 species